rnacentral:misc_RNA from 1 species
GAUGAAGAACGCAGCGAAAUGCGAUAAGUAGUGUGAAUUGCAGAAUUCAGUGAAUAAUCGAAUCUUUGAACGCACAUUGCGCCCCAUGGUAUUCCGUGGGGCAUGCCUGUUCGAGCGUCAUUUACCCCCUCAAGCUCCGCUUGGUGUUGGGCGUCUGUCCCGCUUCGCGCGCGGACUCGCCCCAAAGGUAUUGGCAGCGGUCGUGCCAGCUUCUCGCGCAGCACAUUGCGCUUCUCGAGGCACCGGUGGGCCCGCGUCCAUCAAGCUCACCCCCCCAGUUUGACCUCGGAUCAGGUAGGGAUACCCGCUGAACUUAAGCAUAUCAAUAAGCGGAGGA